rnacentral:rRNA from 1 species
UACGUAGGGUGCAAGCGUUGUCCGGAAUUAUUGGGCGUAAAGAGCUCGUAGGCGGUUUGUCGCGUCUGCUGUGAAAACUCGGGGCUUAACCCCGGGCCUGCAGUGGGUACGGGCAGACUAGAGUGCGGUAGGGGAGACUGGAAUUCCUGGUGUAGCGGUGAAAUGCGUAGAUAUCAGGAGGAACACCGGUGGUGUAGACGGCUCUCUGGACAGUAACUGACGCUGAGACACGAAAGCGUGGGUAGCAAACAGG